GACGAACGCUGGCGGCGUGCCUAACACAUGCAAGUCGAACGAGAUCCAUGGGAGCUUGCUCCCGGAAGAUCUAGUGGCGAACGGGUGAGUAACACGUGAGAAACCUGCCCUGGAGUGGGGAAUAACUCGGGGAAACUCGAGCUAAUACCGCAUACCCUCGGAUGGUCGCAUGGCCGACCGAGGAAAGAUUUAUCGCUCUAGGAGGGUCUCGCGGCCUAUCAGCUAGUUGGUGGGGUAACGGCCUACCAAGGCAACGACGGGUAGCUGGUUUGAGAGAACGAUCAGCCACACUGGGACUGAGACACGGCCCAGACUCCUACGGGAGGCAGCAGUGGGGAAUCUUGCGCAAUGGGCGAAAGCCUGACGCAGCAACGCCGCGUGCGGGAUGACGGCCUUCGUGGUUGUAAACCGCUUUCUAGCAGGACGAAAGUGACGGUACCUGCAGAAGAAGCCCCGGCUAACUACGUGCCAGCAGCCGCGGUAAU
rnacentral:rRNA from 1 species